CCCAAAUCUCAUUAUGUCUUUUAUUUUCACUUUUGGCAGUUGCAUCAGACCCUUUUAUCGGUAUUGUUCAUCUUUGGCUUUCACUUUUCUUCCAAUUCUUGGGUUAAGACUUGAGAUGGACGAAUGUGUGAAAAUCAACACAACUAGCAAUCUAGUACAACAAUGCACAAGCUGUUGGAAGAUCUAUCUUGGGUCACUCAACUUUUGGAUUAGAAUUUAGUUUGACAACUCUUUGGGUAAGCCGUGUUGUGUUAAGAAUUCAUAGGAAGCUGCUUUUUCUUACUUAGGACAAAAUAGCAUCUAGAAUACAAUGCAACAAUGAUGAUUAUGCUAAUCAGGAGUUGUUUUCUCUAACUUCAAUCGAGGAAGGAUAAGGUUCUUCAACAACGGGAAAUGAAGUCAACCACAACUAGAAGUUUGAAGACAACAAAAUAGUUUGGAGAAAUUGUAUGUUAUUUUUUUGGGUUAUACAUCUGUACAAAGAAAAUGGGUUAUAAAUUU